UACGGGGGGGGUAAGCGUUGUUCGGAAUUACUGGGCGUAAAGGGCUCGUAGGCGGCCAACUAAGUCAUACGUGAAAUCCCUCAGCUUAACUGGGGAACUGCGUGUGAUACUGGAUGGCUUGGAUGUGGGAGAGGGAUGCGGAAUUCCAGGUGUAGCGGUGAAAUGCGUAGAUAUCUGGAGGAAUACCGGUGGCGAAGGCGGCAUCCUGGACCGAGAUUGACGCUGAUGAGCGAAAGCUAGGGGAGCAAACGGG
rnacentral:rRNA from 1 species